GAUGAAGAACGUAGCGAAAUGCGAUAAGUAAUGUGAAUUGCAGAAUUCAGUGAAUCAUCGAAUCUUUGAACGCAUCUUGCGCUCCUUGGUAUUCUGAGGAGCAUGCCUGUUUGAGUGUCAUUAAAUUCUCAACUACACUGACUUUGAAUUGGUGUGGCUUGGAUUUGGGGGGAAAAUUGUUGUGGGCUUUUUGUAUAGUCUGCUCCCCUGAAAUUGAUUAGCGGUACCUUUGUGGAACUGUCUACAGGUGUGAUAAUUAUCUACAUCUGCUGGAAUGCUGCUUUCUAAACCUUACUUGUAUUGACAAUCUUGACCUCAAAUCAGGUAGGACUACCCGAUGAACUUAAGCAUAUCAAUAAGCGGAGGA
rnacentral:misc_RNA from 1 species